UACAAUGAGCACUAAAACUAUGUUGUUUUCAUUUCAUAAUUUUUUAACUUUACACCGACGAAAGAAUAAAAUCAAGAUUCACUUAUUUUAUAGAAACAAAAAAUGUAGUUAACCAUUUUUGUUUUUUUUUUCUUUUGUUAAUAGUCAAUGUCUUUUUGGUACUUGACAUAAAAUAAUGUUUUUUGGUACAAUAAUCAAUGACAAUAGAUUUUUGAGGUUAGGGGAAUCUAUGAAGGAAAUUAUAUUACCGUCGCAAAUUCCAAAGCAGCUAAAAAAUUAGCACAAGAGUUACCUCACGCGAAAGUGCAUAAAGGAGAUACUUCAUAGCAAAAAGCAAUUGAAAUAACUUCUUCUAAGACAUAAAAAAUGGAGAUAUGGUAUGAGCCUCAAGUAGAUGAAUGACAUCAAAGGAAUUUCUUACAUAGAAGACUCGGAGGUGUCCUAGGUCCCAAGCCAACAACAACUCAUGCUCCAAAGCCAAAAACUCGGCAUAAAGAGGGCAAGUCCCAUGAAAAGAAGGUGAAAAAUCUGUUACCCAAUCAUAGGAGGAAUUGUGAAUGAUGCCACAACAAGCACCCAUCAAGUUGCUAAUUGGGCGAAAGCAACCAUCAAUGUUCAGCUUAAUAAGAGAGCCUUGUGGUGGGUACCAAACCAGAGAACCAAAGUUCGGAUUCUGCGCUACAUUAUAUUGCUCAUAGGUGUAAUGAACAGCUUAAAUUGUUCAGUAUCUGAUAUUAAUGUUGAUCUGAUUAAUAUCCCGGAGAGUACAUUCCAGUGAUGCAGAAAAUUUUGCAGAAGUAUGCCCUUGUCCUUGUACUGGGAUUGGAUGGGGUGUUACUUGGUGAGGAUAUGUUAUUUGAAGGAAUUUACUUCAUUGUUUCUGCUAACAUACUUUUUUACUUUUUUUACUUUUCUGAACUGAUAAGAAAAGGUGACUUCAAGUAGCUUUGUUUGUUUCAACAGAUCUUUAACUCUCUACUUGCAGGGGUUUAAUAUCAUUUUCCUUUCUUUGUGGAGCUGUGUAUCUAGGUGUUGUGAUCUUGUCAUUACAAAGCUUCUGACUCUUCACUAUUAUCUAUACUUGUUCAGUAACAAAUUGCAACUGCUCCAUCUUUCAAGUGUUUUGUUGCUCUAAGAAAUUGUCCCAAAAAUCAUUAAAACAAAAAGAUAUUUGGUCGAAACGGGGAAAUCUUCUAAACUGCAACAUUGAAGAAGCCGGAGAAGUUUUGCAUCAUGUGGAAAUCUUAUGAACUGCAACAUUGAAGAACCAAUACUUACUAUCAUUGUGUUUGCUCAAUUGUCAAAAGUAAAGAAUAAUAGAGAAGAGAUUGUUCAACAAGAAUUCAUAGUGAGGGGCAAAUAAUUACGAAAAGGUCACAUAAAAAUUUCUCUGGACAGAGGAAUAACAGAGACUAUCAUGUUCAUGCCAACAUGUAAUAAUUA